GGGUUGUGAGGUUAAGCGACUAAGCGUACACGGUGGAUGCCCUGGCAGUCAGAGGCGAUGAAGGACGUGCUAAUCUGCGAUAAGCGUCGGUGAGGUGAUAUGAACCGUUAUAACCGGCGAUUUCCGAAUGGGGAAACCCAGUGUGUUUCGACACACUAUCAUUAACUGAAUCCAUAGGUUAAUGAGGCGAACCGGGGGAACUGAAACAUCUAAGUACCCCGAGGAAAAGAAAUCAACCGAGAUUCCCCCAGUAGCGGCGAGCGAACGGGGAGGAGCCCAGAGCCUGAAUCAGUGUGUGUGUUAGUGGAAGCGUCUGGAAAGGCGCGCGAUACAGGGUGACAGCCCCGUACACAAAAAUGCACAUACUGUGAGCUCGAUGAGUAGGGCGGGACACGUGGUAUCCUGUCUGAAUAUGGGGGGACCAUCCUCCAAGGCUAAAUACUCCUGACUGACCGAUAGUGAACCAGUACCGUGAGGGAAAGGCGAAAAGAACCCCGGCGAGGGGAGUGAAAAAGAACCUGAAACCGUGUACGUACAAGCAGUGGGAGCCUCUUAAUGGGGUGACUGCGUACCUUUUGUAUAAUGGGUCAGCGACUUAUAUUCUGUAGCAAGGUUAACCGAAUAGGGGAGCCGAAGGGAAACCGAGUCUUAACUGGGCGUUAAGUUGCAGGGUAUAGACCCGAAACCCGGUGAUCUAGCCAUGGGCAGGUUGAAGGUUGGGUAACACUAACUGGAGGACCGAACCGACUAAUGUUGAAAAAUUAGCGGAUGACUUGUGGCUGGGGGUGAAAGGCCAAUCAAACCGGGAGAUAGCUGGUUCUCCCCGAAAGCUAUUUAGGUAGCGCCUCGUGAAUUCAUCUCCGGGGGUAGAGCACUGUUUCGGCAAGGGGGUCAUCCCGACUUACCAACCCGAUGCAAACUGCGAAUACCGGAGAAUGUUAUCACGGGAGACACACGGCGGGUGCUAACGUCCGUCGUGAAGAGGGAAACAACCCAGACCGCCAGCUAAGGUCCCAAAGUCAUGGUUAAGUGGGAAACGAUGUGGGAAGGCCCAGACAGCCAGGAUGUUGGCUUAGAAGCAGCCAUCAUUUAAAGAAAGCGUAAUAGCUCACUGGUCGAGUCGGCCUGCGCGGAAGAUGUAACGGGGCUAAACCAUGCACCGAAGCUGCGGCAGCGACGCUUAUGCGUUGUUGGGUAGGGGAGCGUUCUGUAAGCCUGUGAAGGUGUGCUGUGAGGCAUGCUGGAGGUAUCAGAAGUGCGAAUGCUGACAUAAGUAACGAUAAAGCGGGUGAAAAGCCCGCUCGCCGGAAGACCAAGGGUUCCUGUCCAACGUUAAUCGGGGCAGGGUGAGUCGACCCCUAAGGCGAGGCCGAAAGGCGUAGUCGAUGGGAAACAGGUUAAUAUUCCUGUACUUGGUGUUACUGCGAAGGGGGGACGGAGAAGGCUAUGUUGGCCGGGCGACGGUUGUCCCGGUUUAAGCGUGUAGGCUGGUUUUCCAGGCAAAUCCGGAAAACCAAGGCUGAGGCGUGAUGACGAGGCACUACGGUGCUGAAGCGACAAAUGCCCUGCUUCCAGGAAAAGCCUCUAAGCAUCAGGUAACAUCAAAUCGUACCCCAAACCGACACAGGUGGUCAGGUAGAGAAUACCAAGGCGCUUGAGAGAACUCGGGUGAAGGAACUAGGCAAAAUGGUGCCGUAACUUCGGGAGAAGGCACGCUGAUAUGUAGGUGAAGCGACUUGCUCGUGGAGCUGAAAUCAGUCGAAGAUACCAGCUGGCUGCAACUGUUUAUUAAAAACACAGCACUGUGCAAACACGAAAGUGGACGUAUACGGUGUGACGCCUGCCCGGUGCCGGAAGGUUAAUUGAUGGGGUUAGCGGCAACGCGAAGCUCUUGAUCGAAGCCCCGGUAAACGGCGGCCGUAACUAUAACGGUCCUAAGGUAGCGAAAUUCCUUGUCGGGUAAGUUCCGACCUGCACGAAUGGCGUAAUGAUGGCCAGGCUGUCUCCACCCGAGACUCAGUGAAAUUGAACUCGCUGUGAAGAUGCAGUGUACCCGCGGCAAGACGGAAAGACCCCGUGAACCUUUACUAUAGCUUGACACUGAACAUUGAGCCUUGAUGUGUAGGAUAGGUGGGAGGCUUUGAAGUGUGGACGCCAGUCUGCAUGGAGCCGACCUUGAAAUACCACCCUUUAAUGUUUGAUGUUCUAACGUUGGCCCCUAAUCGGGGUUGCGGACAGUGUCUGGUGGGUAGUUUGACUGGGGCGGUCUCCUCCUAAAGAGUAACGGAGGAGCACGAAGGUUGGC
rnacentral:rRNA from 1 species